UAAGAGGGGUGCUCUUGAGGAGCUGAGGUCUGCAAGGAGGGAAGUGUGCUGUGCAGGGAGAAAAUACUAGGCAGUGUGUUUGGGGAAGUAGCCCAGGGAAGAGGCUACUAGACUGGGGCUGGAAGAAAACUAGUGUCAGUUCCUGCUACCUUAUGGUCCCUGGGCCAAAGCCUGGAGUAGUGGGUGGGCCCAAGUUCCAACCAAACCUUCCCAGACCACGGCAGAAUUUACCUCAGGAAAGGGAGACCAGGACUAUGGAGGGGGUUUCACCCCAACCCUUGGACUUGCCUGUAACGAGGAUGGCUCAGACCUGUGAGCUCUAGUCAUGGAUCAUGACUCCACUGUGCAAGCACAAGGCAAACACAGAACAAAAAGUCCACAAUACGUGCAAAGAAGCUCGAUUGGAAUGAAUUUGAACACCUCAUCGGAGAAGUUUUGCUAAAACUGCUUAUAACAUGGCAUAAAUGUUACUUGCUAAGAAAAGGGAUUUAAUAUGAAAUUGUCUUCAGCUGGCAGAAUCUGACUUAGAUAGUUUUAUUUAGUAUCUUAUUGCUCACAUUUCCAAGAUAAUCUUUUUCCACAGAUAGUCUUCACUUCUGAUUACUUCCCUUUGACAUAAUAACAUUCAGCCUGUGUGUAACUAUAAGCUUGUUCUCAACUUGUUCUAUUGAUGUAACUUCAAUUAAUUGCAUACAUACAACAAAAUAUAAUACAAUUGUACCUUAACUGUACACCCCUGUUGCUAAUUUCAAUAAAUAUUGUAUUUUCUGCAUUGCAUCAGGAA